AUUGAACGCUGGCGGCAUGCCUUACACAUGCAAGUCGAACGGUAACAGGUUAAGCUGACGAGUGGCGAACGGGGGAGUAAUGUAUCGGAACGUGCCCAGUCGUGGGGGAUAACUGCUCGAAAGAGCAGCUAAUACCGCAUACGACCUGAGGGUGAAAGCGGGGGAUCGCAAGACCUCGGGCGAUUGGAGCGGCCGAUAUCAGAUUAGGUAGUUGGUGGGGUAAUGGCUCACCAAGCCGACGAUCAGUAGCUGGUCUGAGAGGACGACCAGCCACACUGGGACUGAGACACGGCCCAGACUCCUACGGGAGGCAGCAGUGGGGAAUUUUGGACAAUGGGCGCAAGCCUGAUCCAGCCAUGCCGCGUGCGGGAAGAAGGCCUUCGGGUUGUAAACCGCUUUUGUCAGGGAAGAAAAGGUUCUGGCUAAUACCUGGGACUCAUGACGGUACCUGAAGAAUAAGCACCGGCUAACUACGUG
rnacentral:rRNA from 1 species